CGGAAAUGAGUUUUAAGUCCAGAAAAACGGAUGAAAUACAGUGGUAUUUUUGGUUUGUCAUUAGAACUGCUAUCUACGGAUAUAUUUUGUUCCAUAUUUUCCGAUUUAUGAAGAGAAAAGUUCCAAUACUUCUUGGUUUUGGACCUUUACGUAGAAAUCCAAACUUGCGGAAGUUAAAAAGAGUGAAAGCCUAUAUUAAUCACAAGGUAAGGAGAAUCAAACGUAAAAAAAAGGCUGGGAUUGAUCCUAUAAAAACCGCUUUUGAUCAAAUGAAGAGGGUGAAGAAUCCUCCGAUACCGUUGAAGGACUUUGCUAGUAUCGAUUCUAUGAGGGAGGAAAUCAAUGAAGUUGUAGCAUUUUUACAAAAUCCCAGUGCAUUUCAAGAAAUAGGUGCCCGUGCACCUCGAGGAGUUCUUAUCGUGGGAGAAAGGGGAACAGGAAAGACGUCUCUAGCACUGGCUAUUGCUGCUGAAGCCAAGGUUCCGGUUGUUAAAGUUGCAGCCCAGCAGUUGGAGGCUGGACUAUGGGUUGGUCAAAGUGCAUCAAAUGUCCGGGAACUGUUUCAAACAGCUAGGGAUUUGGCACCUGUAAUUAUCUUCGUGGAGGAUUUUGAUCUUUUUGCUGGUGUUCGUGGCAAAUUUAUUCACACUAAGAAGCAGGAUCAUGAGGCUUUCAUUAAUCAACUCCUAGUGGAACUUGAUGGGUUUGAGAAACAAGAUGGAGUUGUUUUGAUGGCGACAACAAGAAAUUUGAAGCAAAUUGAUGAGGCCUUGCAACGACCUGGUCGGAUGGAUAGAGUAUUUUAUCUUCAACAGCCAACUCAAGCAGAAAGGGAGAAGAUUUUAUUAAGUUCUGCAAAAGAAACCAUGGAUGAAGGCCUCAUUGAUUUUGUAGACUGGAAAAAGGUUGCUGAGAAGACAUCUCUUUUACGCCCUAUAGAAUUGAAACUCGUUCCUGUUGCCCUGGAAGGUAGUGCCUUUAGGAGCAAAUUUGUGGAUGCAGAUGAACUUAUGAGCUACUGCAGUUGGUUUGCGACUUUCAGUGCUAUAUUCCCCAAAUGGGUUCGGAAAACCCUAAUUGUGAAGAAGAUGAGCAGGAUGCUGGUGAAUCAUCUGGGGCUAGAAUUGACUAAAGAGGAUCUGCAGAAUGUUGUUGACCUGAUGGAGCCGUAUGGUCAGAUAAGCAAUGGAAUAGACCUACUCAAUCCUCCACUUGAUUGGACCAGGGAGACCAAGUUCCCACAUGCUGUUUGGGCUGCUGGCCGUGGUCUUAUUGCACUUCUUUUACCUAACUUUGAUGUUGUAGAUAAUCUAUGGCUGGAGCCCUGUUCUUGGCAGGGAAUUGGAUGUACUAAGAUCAGUAAGGCUAGAAAUGAAGGCUCCCUGAAUGGAAAUGUGGAAUCAAGAUCUUAUCUUGAGAAAAAGCUUGUCUUUUGUUUUGGUUCAUAUGUUGCAUCCCAGCUACUACUUCCCUUUGGUGAAGAAAAUUUUCUUUCUUCUUCAGAAUUAAGACAAGCUCAGGAGAUAGCUACACGUAUGGUGAUUCAGUAUGGGUGGGGGCCUGAUGACAGUCCUGCAAUUUACUACAGUAGCAAUGCGGUUACAUCUUUAAGCAUGGGGAACAAUCAUGAGUAUGACAUGGCAGCUAAAGUUGAAAAGAUGUACGAUUUAGCAUAUCUUAAAGCAAAGGAAUUGCUUCAGAAAAAUCGUCAAGUUCUUGAGAAGAUUGUUGAAGAGUUACUUGAAUUUGAGAUUUUGACUGGCAAGGAUUUGGAAAGAAUUGUUGAAAAUAAUGGUGGGACUCGGGAAAAGGAGCCUUUUUUCCUUUCAAAGGCUAGUUAUGUGGAGCCAGUGUCUAGCAACUUUCUUGAUAUGGGGAAUGGAUCAGGGCCUGCUCUUUUAGGUGUAUCUAACUAGGAUGAAGGGAGCAUUCACUUCAUGUAUUGAUUGUCAAAGGUGCCACAUUUCUCCAACGAGCACAGAUUUACUUCUUUGAGUAUAGGUUCCUUGUUGUAUAAAUUUAUUGCAGAGUGUCUUUCUGACCAUUGAAAUAUUAUAAAAACUAGUUGUUACAGUGAGUAAGUUUUGUUGAGAAGAGGUUCUAUUUUUCCUUCUCAACUGCAGUCAUCUAGGGCUGGAGAAAAUGCUUCCCCGUUCACAUUGUAAUGUGAUUUUUGGCAAUAAAAUGUCAUCAUAUUGGAA
rnacentral:misc_RNA from 1 species